GUCGUGGGACCUUUUGUACAUCUCAAUUCUUGUUCUUCUUCCAUUCGUUAUAAUAAUAUUCUUGUUCUUCAUCUCAACCAAGAAUCACAUUGAUUCUUGUUUAGGGUAUUGUUUUCCAUUAAUUCAUUUCUCUUUUCUUGAUCUUAUAAUUGGUAUCAAAGUACCGAUUCGAUGCCCUGAGGGAGUGGAACUACCAGCCCCGCUGUUACUCUAUGUAUAGUAUCAACGUGAAUGAUGAUAAGAGACGACGAUAGCUGGACACAAGAACAUGAGGAAAUGCAUCAAGAACGUGAGGAGAUGCGUCAAGAAUGUGAGGAGCUCCGUUUGCAAGAAGACAUUACUGAUAGCAGAGAAGAUAAUGAGGGAAAGUUGGAGGUGUUGGUUAAAUGGCAGGAUCUUCAUAGCCAUGAUUGAACUUGGGAAAUGACAGCUACUAUAUAGAAG
rnacentral:lncRNA from 1 species